rnacentral:lncRNA from 1 species
ACCAUUCCCUUAAACCUUAUGGCACGAUCAGAAUCAUGAUCAUUCAAGGAAUUUAAUGAUACCUCUAGAGUUGUCAGCUCACCCUCCAUGUUCUUUUUAGGAUUUGUUUCUUCCUCUUGGUCCAUAAAGUUGUCAUUCAGUAUUGUAAUCAUAUGAAUUUCUUUUGUGCAACUAUGUCCCGAAGUAUAUUUUUCUUCACAGAAGAAAUAUAGACCUUGAGCUUUUCGAUUUUGCAUUUUUGCAUUAGAUAUAGUGAUUGUCCUUU